rnacentral:RNase_P_RNA from 1 species
CCAGACGGCUGGACGGUCGCCGCCGCGCACUUUCGCAAGAUGGGGCGUGGGGGAGGAAAGUCCGGGCUCCACGAAAAAGCGGUGCCGGGUAACGCCCGGCGGGGGCGACCCCAGGGAAAGUGCCACAGAAAGUAAACCGCCGGGCCCCAGGAGAUUUAGGUCUUCGGGACCAGGUAAGGGUGAAAGGGUGCGGUAAGAGCGCACCGCGCGGCUGGUAACAGCCGUGGCAGGGUAAACCCCACCGGGAGCAAAAUCGAAUAGGGAUGGCGCGUCCCAUCCGGCUUCGGCCAGAAGGGACAGGCGUGUUCGCGCCGCCGUCCGGGUAGGUUGCACGAGGCGUUCGGCAACGGACGCCCUAGAUGAAUGACCGUCUAUCGGCGCGAUACAGCCUAAUGGUUGGGGCCGCGGCGGGGACAGAACCCGGCUUACAGGCCGUCUGGCGCC